rnacentral:sRNA from 1 species
ACACUCCUAAGCUCCUCCCCCGGCGGCGAGCCAGGGAGAAAGGAUGGCCGGCCGGGCGGCCCGGUUGGUCCUGCUAGCUGGGGCCGCGGCGCUGGCGAGCGGCUCCCAGGGCGACCGUGAGCCAGUGUACCGCGACUGCGUACUGCAGUGCGAAGAGCAGAACUGCUCUGGGGGCGCUCUGAAUCACUUCCGCUCCCGCCAGCCAAUCUACAUGAGUCUAGCAGGCUGGACCUGUCGGGACGACUGUAAGUAUGAAUGUAUGUGGGUCACCGUUGGGCUCUACCUCCAGGAAGGUCACAAAGUGCCUCAGUUUCAUGGCAAGUGGCCCUUUUCCCGGUUCCUGUUCUUUCAAGAGCCAGCAUCUGCCAUGGCCUCUUUUCUCAAUGGCCUGGCCAGCCUGGUGAUGCUCUGCCGCUACCGCACCUUCGUGCCAGCCUCCUCCCCCAUGUACCACACCUGUGUGGCCUUCGCCUGGGUGUCCCUCAACGCAUGGUUCUGGUCCACAGUCUUCCACACCAGGGACACUGACCUCACAGAGAAAAUGGACUACUUCUGUGCCUCCACCGUCAUCCUACACUCAAUCUACCUGUGCUGCGUCAGGUGAGCCUGCCUGGGUGGCUGCAGGGGCAAAAUCGAACCCUGGAGGCAGAAAAGGGUCACCCAGCCCUCCCCUGGGGGCCUUCUUCACUAGUCUCCCAACACCUACUUCCCCCCACCGCCCACCACCACAUUAGCUGUCCUGGGUGAGGACUCUGGGGUAGGACUGGGGGCCCUGGCUCCUGACAAGGAGCUGUAGCACUUGCUGCCCCAGCUGUGGCCUGUUUGGUGGGGAGAGGGGUAGUGACUUCAGGGGCCAUGCACUGAUGUUGGGGGGAGGAGAUGCGUCAGGGAAUGCUGCUCUGGGGAUGGGCCACCCGCCCUCUGAGCAACCCUGGACGGUGGGGCAGGACCGUGGGGCUACAGCACCCAGCUGUGGUCAGUGCCUUCCGGGCUCUCCUGCUGCUAAUGCUGACCGUGCACGUCUCCUACCUGAGCCUCAUCCGCUUCGACUAUGGCUACAACCUGGUGGCCAACGUGGCUAUUGGCCUGGUCAACGUGGUGUGGUGGCUGGCCUGGUGCCUGUGGAACCAGCGGCGGCUGCCUCACGUGCGCAAGUGCGUGGUGGUGGUCUUGCUGCUGCAGGGGCUGUCCCUGCUCGAGCUGCUUGACUUCCCACCGCUCUUCUGGGUCCUGGAUGCCCAUGCCAUCUGGCACAUCAGCACCAUCCCUGUCCACGUCCUCUUUUUCAGCUUUCUGGAAGAUGACAGCCUGUACCUGCUGAAGGAAUCAGAGGACAAGUUCAAGCUGGACUGAAGACCUUGGGAGCGAGUCUGCCCCAGUGGGGAUCCUGCCCCCGCCCUGCUGGCCUCCCUUCUCCCCUCAACCCUUGAGAUGAUUCAUUUUCUCCUUUCAACUUCUUGAACUUGGACAUGAAGGAUGUGGGCCCAGAAUCAUGUGGCCAGCCCACCCCCUGCUGGCCCUCACCAGCCUUGGAGCCUGUUCUAGGGAAGGCCUCCCAGCAUCUGGGACUAGAGAAUGGGCAGCCCCUCUGCCUCCUGGAGCUGAACUGGGGUGGAACUGAGUGCGUUCUUAGCUUUACCGGGAGGACAGCUGCCUGUUUCCUCCCCACCAGCCUCCUCCCCACAUCCCCCGCUGCCUGGCUGGGUCCCGAAGCCCUCUGUCUACCUGGGAGACCAGGGACCACAGGCCUUAGGGAUACAGGGGGUCCCCUUCUGUUACCACCCCCCACCCUCCCCCAGAAUACCACUAGGUGGUGCUGGAUGCUUGUUCUUUGGCCAGCCAAGGUUCACGGCGAUUCUCCCCAUGGGAUCUUGAGGGACCAAGCUGCUGGGAUUGGGAAGGGGUUUCACCCUGAUCAUUGCCCUAGCCAGGUUCCCAGGAGGCCUCACCACACUCCCUUUCGGGGCCAGGGCUCCAGCAAGCCCAGGGCAAGGAUCCCGUGCUGCUGUCUGGUAGAGAGCCUGGCACCAUGUGUCGGGAGUGUGGGCCAGGCUGAGUGCAUAGGUGACGGGGCCGUGAGCAUGGGCCUGGGUGUGUGUGAGCUCAGGCCUAGGUGCGCAGUGUGGAGAGGGGUGUUGUGGGGGAAGAGGUGUGGUUUCAGAGUGUGUGUGUGCAGGGGUGGGUGGGUUAGCGUGGGUUAGGGGAACGUGCGUGUGGGCGUGCUGGUAGGCAUGUGAGAUGAGUGACUGCCGGUGAAUGUGUCCACAGUUGAGAGGUUGGAGCAGGAUGAGGGAAUCCCGUCACCAUCAAUAAUCACUUGUGGAGCGCCAGCUCUGCCCAAGGCCCCACCUGGGCGGACAGCCAGGACCUCUCCAUGGCCAGGCUGCCUGUGUGCAUGUUCCCUGUCUGGUGCCCCUUUGCCAGCCUCCUGCAAACCUCACAGGGUCCCCACACAACAGUGCCCUCCAGAAGCAGCCCCACGGAGGCAGAGGAAGGAAAAUGGGGAUGCCUGGGGCUCUCUCCAUCCUCCUUUUCUCCUUGCCUUCGCAUGGCUGGCCUUCCCCUCCAAAACCCCCCUUCCCCUGCUGCCAGCCCCUUUGCCAUAGCCCGACUUUGGGGAGGAGGAAGGGGCGAUUUGAGGGAGAAGGGGAGAAAGUUUAUGGCUGGGUCUGGUUUCUUCCCUCCCCAGAGGGUCUCACUGUUCCAGGGUGGCCCCAGGACAGGCAGGGGCCACACUAUGCCUGCACCCUGGUAAAGGUGACCCCUGCCAUUUACCAGCAGCCCUGGCAUGUUCCUGCCCCACAGGAAUAGAAUGGAGGAAGCUCCAGAAACUUUCCAUCCCAAAGGCAGUCUCCGUGGUUGAAGCAGACUGGAUUUUUGCUCUGCCCCUGACCCCUUGUCCCUCUUUGAGGGAGGGGAGCUAUGCUAGGACUCCAACCUCAGGGACUCGGGUGCCCUGUGCUAGCUUCUUUUGAUACUGAAAACUGUUUUAAGGUGGGAGGGUGGCAAGGGAUGUGCUUAAUAAAUCAAUUCCCAGCCUC